rnacentral:rRNA from 1 species
GACGAACGCUGGCGGCGUGCUUAACACAUGCAAGUCGAACGAAGUGGCGAACGGGUGAGUAACGCGUAAUCACCCUGCCCUUCAGAGGGGGACAACAGUUGGAAACGACUGCUAAUACCGCAUACGGAAGGAGGGGCUUGCGUCUGAUUAGCUAGUUGGAGGGGUAACGGCCCACCAAGGCGAGGAUCAGUAGCUGGUCGGGGAGGAGGAACGGCCACAUUGGGACUUAGACACGGCCCAGACUCCUACGGGAGGGAGCAGUGGGGAAUCGUCCGGAAGUGACGAAAGUCUGACGGAGCAACGCCGCGGGAGGGAUGACGGCCUUCGGGUUGUAAAGCUCUGUUAAUCGGGACGCGGUACCGGAAUAGAAAGCCACGGCUAACUACGUGCCAGCCGCCGCGGUAAUUC